UUGGCCACCUGGGGGCAAUCUGAAAGGGCUAUAAAAAACAAGCCUAAGAGCUGUUACCUCACUGCUGUUCCCGUCUAUCAGCAGGCUGCAGGCAGGAAGCUUCCUUCUCUGCUCUCCUCAAAGUACGGCGACAAAGCCUUGCGCUGUGCCACCAUGCGGCAGAAGGCGGUAUCGCUCGUCUUGUGCUACCUGCUACUCAACACCUGCGUCUGCGAGGAGACAGAAGAAAGUGAGUCCGGGUUCUGGGGCACGCUGACCUACAUGGCCGUCGGAGGAGGGCUCAUGGCCGUGGCGCUGCCCGCGCUGGGCUUCACGAGCACAGGCAUCGCCGCCAACUCGGUGGCUGCCUCGCUGAUGAGCUGGUCGGCCGUGGCGAACGGGGGCGGAGUGCCCGCCGGGGGGCUGGUGGCCACGCUGCAGAGCCUGGGGGCUAACGGUGGCAGUGCCCUCAUGGCCAAGAUUGGGGCCCUUCUGGGCUAUACUGUCCACAAGCAAAUGGAAAGCAGAGGGAAGGAGAGAGCGGAUGAGGAGUAGCUAGCAGCUCCCUGGACCCCCCUCCUUCCUCCUUGUCUUCCUUUUCCAGCUGCAGUCCAGAGGUUCCUCUUUCACACUUGGCAAUGACCUAGGCUGUGCCAGGUCUUAGUUGCAGCACACGGGAUCUUCAUUGCAGCGUGCGAACUCUUAGUUGCGGCAUGCAUGUGGGACUUAGUUCCCCGACUAGGGAUUGAACCGGGGCCGCCUGCAUUGGGAGCGCAGAGUCUUACCCACUGGACCACCAGGGAAGUUCCUUUACCACAAUCUUCUUAGGUCUUAUUAGGAUCCUCAUUUUACAGAAAAGAAAUCAAGGCAGAGAGAGGUCAAAUCACUUCCCCGAGGUAAACAGCUGGCAAGUGACAGGCCAGGAUUCAAACCCAGUCAGCCUCACUAGGACAGUGCCUGGCACCCAGAGGGGACUCUAUAAGUGACUGUCCAAUCAAGGAACUUAAUUUUAAUCUCCUUCUGCCUCACCCAUCCAACCCCAUUCAACUGAGCAAC